GGUAAAAUGGCCGAGGAUAAGCGAUAAGCAUUGAACUGUAAAUUCAAAGACAGAGACUAGAUAUCUCUUUUUACCA
rnacentral:tRNA from 1 species